UACGAAGGGGGCUAGCGUUGUUCGGAAUUACUGGGCGUAAAGCGCACGUAGGCGGAUUGUUAAGUGAGGGGUGAAAUCCCAGGGCUCAACCCUGGAACUGCCUCUCAUACUGGCAAUCUCGAGUUCGAGAGAGGUGAGUGGAAUUGCGAGUGUAGAGGUAGAAAUUCGUAGAUAUUCGCAGGAACACCAGUGGCGAAGGCGGCUCACUGGCUCGAUACUGACGCUGGAGGUGCGAAAGCCGUGGGGAGCAAACAGG
rnacentral:rRNA from 1 species